CAACUGAACCUUUGAAAUCCCUCCAAUUAAAACGCUGCAGACUGCACUCUGACCGGCAGUUCAAGGCCUCCAAAAGGAUACUUUUGUUUUGCCAUGCUUUUCACUAUGCUUUUCCGCCAUAGUGCCAUAGAUCAUCUUAAUACGGUCAGAGGCGUAAUAAGGAAGGACGGAAGGACUUUGCUCCGAAACCAUGGUCCAAGGUCUUGUGAUGUUUUAUGUCAGAACCAGACAGCCAUCGCCCUGAUCACCGGAGCUCCUUCUCAACUAGAAGCCCUUGAGCUCCAAACAGACAGCCAUGGAGUUGAAGAGCUGCCUGCGACGCACGCAAUCCCUGAAGAGCGUCGCGGCUCGGUCUGACAACAGACCCAUCUGGGCGGAGGGGGCGCGCAGAGACCGGAUGGCGUCCGUGUCCCAGCUGGUUGCUAGGUACCAGAACUCAGUGGAGGUUAGCCCGACCAUUGAAGUCACUCAAGUGAAUAAUCCCCAAACCAUACUAAAGCAAGUCCCCCAAGAGACAAAAUCACCAAAAUCACCAAAAACAACAGCUUCUGCUGAGGUGAGUUCAGGGCAUGAAAGCAAGGCGGAGGCGCUGCCAAGGAAAGCUGGUGCCAGAGAAUGGUCUCUCCCUCACACCAAGACCAACCUGGCUCGCAGUAGGUCCAUGGGCAGCCUCAAAAAUUGUUUCGGCAGCGUCAGCGACCUAAAGAGUCUGUUUGAGUCAAAGAACGACAUGCAGCCAAAGAUCCUGCAUGAGAGGAGCAUGAGAGCGGAAGGCCCGACUCUUCCUAUCAGAGCCAAGACGACCGACCCCACACCAGUGGUGAACGGACACGCGGGAGAGAGACAGCCCGCACAGAAGAAGAAGGCUGAUUCAGCUGAUUCUGAUGGACAUGCUAAUGUUGAUGCUAAGGCUAAUGAUGUCAAGGCUAAUGCUCACACAAAAGAACAGGAGUUGAUUAAGAAGCAACAAAGUAACAACAAAGAACGAGGAAAAUUGAUUGGUGGCAUUGACCUCGAAAGAGUUGGUUCAUCCCAUUACGAUGAUAAGAAGAGGUCCUUUAGCCCGACCAGGGAGACGCUACCCAUUUCUGUGAAGGCCAUAUCUGCUCUUUACCUGUCCCAGACGAGAGCUACCGAACAACGAAACAACAAUACACAACUUGCAAAAGAUAAGUCGGAAAGUGCAAAGCGAACUAAACCAAUUAAGUCAAGAUGGCCGAGGACUGUCAAAGAGCAAAAGACACUCUGGUGCCACCACGUUUGGAUGGCCUUGGCCCAAGAGGGGGUGGAGGAGAUAUCUCUCGGGGGCACGUCCAAACACCUAACAUGCCAUCGCAUCCCGCCAAAGUAAUGUUGCAACAGAAGCGGCAGAAAUGUGAGCUGAGGAGACUUCUCAAACACACUCACCCAGAGCUGAAGACUCUGGACGGGGUGAUGGACGAGGAACUGGCUGAGUUUCUCGAUUUAGAGACAGCUGGUGAAAAGGGAUAUGAGGGAGAGGUCAUCUCUAGAAGGCAGAUGUUUGAAAACUGUGCAGUGAGCAACCCCCAGGGCAACAACGCCCCCAAUCAGCCUGCAGAAGAGGAACCAGCUGAAAGAGGAGAGGUCAUGAGAACAACUGCCCUGUUUGAUCGGCCAAGGUUGCAGCUUCAAGAAGAUGGCACCAAGGUCACAAUGGCGGUCCCUGAAGGACCCAGAGGUCCUGAUCUCCAAUCAGAGGGCGAGGAACAGAUGGUUAAAGUAGAUGUUCAGUCCACCAGGAGGAUGUUUGAGAGGCAGUCAGUGGAGACCUCAUGGUCAAGUCCAAAAAAGUUCAAAGGUAAAUGGAAGGACACAACUGGAAUGGUGCAAGACCAGAAGUUAAAGAAUAGCACACAAGAGAAUAAAGGCAAAAUCCAAAGCAGUGAAUUCUCAGAAAAACUGAAUCAUGACAAAGGAAUGCAAGCCCCUUAUGAGAAACAGUGCACAAGCCUCAAUACUUCACAAUGUCUGCCAACUUUUAUGGAAGUCCAUACAAGUGAAAGUCUUUUUCAAAACAACCCUUUUAUAACAACAAACAUGGAGCGAGAACCAUACCAGAAGGCCAACCCUCAAAACAACACCUCACUCAACGGUGACCUAACUGAAGCCAGCAGAGCAACUGAGAACUCACCUAGAGCCAAUGUUAAAAACAGAGCCCAUCUCUUUGAUUCAAUGCCAUUUGAUAAGAUCCAGCACCAAAACAAGGAAGAAAUUGAAACAACAGUGGAGAGAAUUAAUGAAACACUAAAUUCCCUCAAUCAUUUUAGAGCAAUACAUUCACAUGGGUACAUCAUUGAAGUGAACGAGACUAUGCUAGCUAAAAAGGCUAAAUAUCUUCUCUCCCCAACCGGGCCAAAGGUGACCUCAGAUGAUUUGGCCGAAGGUGGUGCUCAGAACUUCAUUGUGCAGCUGCUGCCGAGGGCAAAGCUGAAGACUCAAGUUAUGUAUCUGAAGGAAGAUAAACAAGGAAAUGUUGGGUCGACCGUUGUGGAUUCCCCUGUCUACCAGCAUCAGUUCAACCCCAAUCAAGAUGUUGAGUUGAGAACAGUCAAUGUGGUACAGCUUAUAGAGGAUAUGCUUAUCCAGGACAACUCUUUCAGUAAGGGAGUGAUUAUUCAAGAGGAUGAGAAUGGAUAUUCUGACGUCACUGUCUAUUCCCUCAAUAAUUAUGCAGAUGGAGAUGUGAAAAGUUAUUGCCCUCCACAAGGCCAUUCUACAAUGACAAACAGAGUAGAACCUACAAUGGUUGAGGAUUUAAAAAACAUCCACUAUAUUAUCAAAGGAGAUGUGAAAUCAACCAUAAGCUGUCUCUUGGCAUCAAAUGAGGAUCGAGUUGUCACAGAAUCAUUCAGACCUGAUGUGCCGAUGAAAGGAAACGUGAUACUAUUUAGGAACUGCAUUGAGAAGGGUGAUUACGAGUAUUUGAAAACACUUAAGGCAGAGCCCCGAGAGCAAGAACUAUCUGGAGUCUACAUGGAGACUGAUGGUAAAAUAGGAGAGCAUCAAUGGGAUGUAGGGGGUAUAGAGCAGGCUACAGUAGAAAAAAAAGCCCAGCCAAACAGGUUGUUUGCAAAUGAAAGCUGUGUCCAAUUGAAACAACUGACCCGUGAUGAUGCUGACUACUCAAACAUGUGUAAAGACAUCAUUGAUGAAGGAAGGACAUCUUUUGACAUAUGUGACAAUGGGACCACCUCAGGUCAGGUGCCAAACACCUUGAGUGAGUCUAGCCCUCAAGAGCAACCGAAGAUAUGUGAGUUCAGGACAGCACCAAGAGGGUUAACUCUGUGUGCCAAUGCACAGAGGGAGGACGUGAUCCUACAAGCUGAGUUAAUUGAGGAUGUAGAUUACGAAGAUGAAAUAUCCAUCCUUCAAGCUGCAAUCCAUAGUCUUCGACAAGUUACACUUGACGCUAAGGCCCUUCAUCGUGCAACACUAGAGAAAGAAGCGUUAAAACAAGAAAACCCAAAGCCACAGAUAACUUAUAGAGUACAAUCUGAUCUUAAGACUGUAGAAAUACAACCAGGAAUCUCUCAAAAGAAUAUGCAAGAUGAUAAGAUGUCCUGUGAAAGAGAACCAUCUACAUCCAAAUCCAGCAUUGCCACAAAACUUGACUCCGAAGGAGAAACCAAACAUAUGAGGCCUGCAGACUUUCAGUCCAAAGAAAAGCAUUCUACUGAUACUGGAGCUCUCCAGAUAGAUGACUUAGAAGCUGUGACUAUGUCAGCACCGAGUUCCGCAACAAAAAGUCAGGAAGAAGAAAGUGAAAUGGUUGGUGGUGUUCAAGCAGCCUUAGAUUCCUUAGCAAGGUCAAGUGUUAAUGUCAGCAGAGGUGAUUUCAGAGCAGCCAUGAUAUACAAAACAUCAAGCAAAUCAAAAAAGAAACGAAUGAAAAAUGUGGAAGAUGCAUCUUCUAAGAUGGCCACAGAAAUACAAUUCAGCUCAACAGAAUCGAAACCAGAACCAUGUGACACAUUUAGUCCAGUAGCAGUGAUCAAACUGGCCACUGAAGACGUGGGUGGACUAUAUACUAAAUUAGCCUGCCCAGAUAAAACUGCCAAAGACCCAGAACAUAGCACCUCAAAAAACAAUAAGGUUUGUCCUAAACCAGCCAUUCCACCUAAACCUGAGCAUUUAUGGUUGAAAGGGGAUGAUAGGGAUGAUAUAGAAAACAGUACUGUGGUAGCUGAGAUGAAAAUACAUUGUAGGGAAGAGCAAUGUCUCGGGGUAUCUAUACCAAGUAGAGAUGUGCCCGGGAGGGGUUUGUCUGGGAAAGCCAAAGAUUUAAUUUCAAGUGCUUCUGAUUCUGAAAAACCUGAAGUAUCUGAGAAAGUUGUUGAAGUUAGUAUAGGUCAGAAAUUGCAAACCAAAAAACCAGUUGAAAUUACUGAUGGGGAAGUAGAUGAGGCGAAAAUUGAUUUCCAAAAGUCUCUUAAGAAAUUCGACCACGCAAUUAAGGUUUCCUUGAAAACUGCCCCUACCAAGCCAAAGAGAUUGAAAGCAAACCAAAACAAAGGCACAACAUUGCAACAGACAUCUAGUGAUAAUGUAACGCCCAAGCAACAACUUACACAUCCGUCAUGCAGUAAGUCAAAUAACCAAGUUGUGAUGCGGAAAAAGAAAGUGAAAAUGGAGACAGAAGAGGCAAGGCGCCUGAGGCUGUCCGUUCACAUGGAUGAGAUUGUCAGAGGAAACAUCACUGCAGCCACGGAGAUAUUUGAUCAUAUGCGAAAACAAGAAGAACUGCAGGAAAUGCUAAAUACGGUAGAAGAAAUGGAGCACGACACUAGCAAUGUGGACGUUAGGACCCUCAGGGGGAUAUUUGAGAAGGUGCCAGCCUGGGGAGAAGGAGCUCAACACAAGAAGGAAAAGCCAGCAAAGGUAGAACAGCCAGUGGAGUGGUCAUUAUCAAUUAAGCCUGAUGCUGAAAGCAUGUCACAAAGGGCCCAUGUUUUUGGAGAUCUGGAAAGAGCAAGUGAGGAGGUCAUGAAUCUGAAGGAACAGACCUUGGCCCGUCUUCUAGACAUUGAGGAUGCCAUAAAGAAAGCUCUGUAUUCUGUUUCAACUUUGAAAUCAGACUCUGACAUUGCAGGUUUAUCAGGCCUGUUCAAAGAGUCUUUGAGGAAAGUGCAUGGUUCUACAAAACUGGCAACAUAAGGAAAUUAGCAGCAGACAUAGUCUGAGGAGAACAGAGAGCUAAUCCUCAAUUUUCACCUGCUUUCGUCUCUAUUGAGGCUGCCAUGAGAAAAAAUGAUGAGCCACGAAUGCAAUCAAUGGUGACCACGAAGUACCCCACCGGUCAACCCAGCCCGAAAGCCGAGGAGAAAUCCGGAAAAACACAAGCCCAACUCAUUACAAAACAGGGUUAACCUUAGAGUAAGCAAUCGGGCAUCUUAUUUUUCGGAUAACAAUCCAUCAAAUAGCCCCUUUGCACCACAACAUAAGAUCAGCGUGAUUGACCACAUAUCCCGAAAUCCGGAUUUGCAUCAACAGUAGACCUUGUUUUUUAAAGAUGAUAAACGUAUAAAAUUAACAAAUAAUGUGUCAGGUCACCAGAUAUCCAAAAUGCUUUAUUCCCAUUGGAGGUUAAAUUGAUCUUAAAGACUAGAAAAACAUAGUAUGUAUCUAUUCCCAAAUCAAUAAAAGACUAUCAACAUAUUUUCUUUCCCUCAGUCAUACAGUAGGUUGUGUUGAUUUCCUUUAGGAAUUCAUAAGUUUGUUUCUUUAUUGAUUGACAUGUUCAUUUGUUUAAUUUCAAAGAUAGAUGAACUUGUUUUUGGAAUUUAUGUUUUUGGACCAGAUUCGAAAUGAAAGUGGUUUUACUCUUUAUUGUUGUUAGAUGGGUCAUAGGUAAUCUUUUUCAUAUCACGCAUGCUUUUUUUAUCCCUCAACAGUUUCAACCAUCUAGUCAAGAAAUGUGUUCAGCUUGCUUGAAACCAGUUUAUCCAAUGGAGAAAAUUGUGGCAGACAUACACAUUUUUCACAAAAUGUGUUUCUGUUGUAAGCAUUGCAAGAAGACACUAAGCAUCCAAAGUUACACCCCACUGCAUGGCAGCUACUACUGCAUAUUUCACUACCAGCAGUUGUUUAAAAGAAAAGGAAAUUACGACGAGGGCUUCGGUCACACUCAACACAAGACCCAAUGGCUUCUGAAGACUGCUGUCGAUGAUUCUGAGGCGUAACACGUGAUUUAAAAGUUGUGUCACAGUAAUAAUGAUCUAAACUGUGAGUCAACGCAUCAAACAAAUUGUACUUUAUUGUAGGGCUGUGGGAUACAAGACAUUUAUUUUUCAUUUUAAAAAGGCUAACAUGAUCGUUACCAUGAUAACAUGGAUUGAUUCAACUGUUGGAGCCUACUGUAAAGAUCACUACAGUUGAUAAGGUUUUGGUCGACUGGUCAACUCCCUUGCAGAAACAUGUCAAUGAUUUUACUUCAGUGUGUACAUUCGUUUUGAUGGCUGCGUUUGUUGUAUGAAUGUUUAAAUGUGAUAAUGUGCAAUGUUUCUUCUCAAACUGUGCCUAUAUGAAACCAUCCAGAGAAGAACCAGUUUAUUCAAUCCUAGCAACUAUAUAUUUGUAAAGUAUGUCUAAAUAAUCUUGCAGAUUUAAGUUUUCAUAUUCAAUAAAAUCAUUAACUCUUGAGUGACUUCAA